CCUGCCCCAGCAGCAUUGCAGGUGUGGCUGUUGUGUCACAUGUACCUCAGUAGGUGGCAGGGAGGAGAGAGGCUAUGUUUAUGUUCAGUAUUGUGACCUGCGAACGUCUGAAUGCUUAGCAGCCUAACAUU